ACUCCUACGGGAGGCAGCAGUGGGAAUAUUGCGCAAUGGGCGAAAGCCUGACGCAGCGACGCCGCGUGCGGGAUGAAGGCCUUCGGGUUGUAAACCGCUGUCGGGAGGGACGAAUGCCCCGCAAGGGGAGUGACGGUACCUCCAAAGGAAGCACCGGCUAACUCUGUGCCAGCAGCCGCGGUAAUACAGAGGGUGCGAGCGUUGUCCGGAAUCACUGGGCGUAAAGGGCGCGUAGGCGGCCCGGUAAGCAGGGGGUGAAAUCUUGCGGCUCAACCGCAAAGGCUGCCUUCUGAACUGUCGGGCUGGAGCACGGUAGAGGCAGAUGGAAUUCCCGGUGUAGCGGUGGAAUGCGUAGAGAUCGGGAAGAACACCAGUGGCGAAGGCGGUCUGCUGGGCCGUUGCUGACGCUGAGGCGCGACAGCGUGGGGAGCAAACAGGAUUAGAUACCCGGGUAGGCUCUGCU
rnacentral:rRNA from 1 species